rnacentral:rRNA from 1 species
CCUACGGGAGGCUGCAGUGGGGAAUAUUGCACAAUGGGGGAAACCCUGAUGCAGCGACGCCGCGUGAGUGAAGAAGUAAUUCGUUACGUAAAGCUCUAUCAGCAGGGAAGAAAAUGACGGUACCUGAGUAAGAAGCCCCGGCUAACUACGUGCCAGCAGCCGCGGUAAUACGUAGGGGGCAAGCGGUAUCCGGAUUUACGGGGUGGAAAGGGAGCGUAGACGGUGCGCCAAGUCUGGAGUGAAAUGCAGCAGCUGAACUGCGGAACUGCUUUGGAAACUGGCGAACGAGAGUGCGGGAGGGGUAAGCGGAAUUCCUAGUGUAGCGGUGAAAUGCGUAGAUAUUAGGAGGAACACCGGUGGCGAAGGCGGCUUACUGGACCGUAACUGACGUUGAGGCUCGAAAGCGUGGGGAGCAAACAGGAUUAGAUACCCUGGUAGUC